UUGGCGUCCAUUUCAUGUUUACUCGUCAAGCAAGUUGUCGUCGCCUUGCUUUUCUCUGAGGAUUAAAACUAGAAACUUUGUUUUUUUCUGGACUUCCGCACUUUUGUGACAUUUAAUGAUGAACUUGCUUUGCUUCUUCCUCCUAGUUGUACAAACACACAGCGUGACGCCUGUGAUUCACACGCUGCAGUAUUUCCGCACUGCAUGCUCUCAAGUUCCAAACUUCCCAGAGUAUGUGGAUGUUGGUUAUGUUGAUGAAGUUGAGGUGAGUUACUAUGACAGCAACAUCAGGAAAGCAGAAUCCAAACAGGACUGGAUGAACAAAAUCACAGCAGAGGAUCCAAACUACUGGCAGAGACAAACAGAGAUCAAUGUUGUUAAAGAACAUGUCUUCAAAGACAACAUUGAAAUAGCCAUGAAGCGUUUCAACCAAACUGGAGGUGUUCACACUUUCCAGGUGAUGACAGGAUGUGAAUGGAAUGAUGAGACUGAUGAAGUUAAAGGUUGGAGGCAGUUCAGUUAUGAUGGAGAAGAUUUCAUAUCGUUGGACAUGAAGACAUGGACAUUUACUGCAGCAAAACAACAAGCUUUCCCCACCAAACUCAAGUGGGACCAGGACACACAUGGACUAGACGACCUUAAGUAUUAUUACACUGAGAUAUGUCCUUCUUACUUGAAGAAGUAUGUGGAGUAUGGGAAGAAGGUCCUAAUGAGAACAGAGCUUCCAAAGGUGUUCCUCCUCCAGAAGACGCCAUCCUCUCCGGUCACCUGCAUGGCGACAGGUUUCUACCCCGACCGAGCCGACUUGUUUUGGAGGAAAGACGGCGAGCAGAUCUUCGAGGACGUGGAGCACGGAGAGCUGCUCCCCAACCACGACGGAACCUUCCAGUUGUCGGUGGAGCUGAAAGUGGAGGUGACGGCCGAGGUGGAGGGCAAGUACGAAUGUGUGUUCCAGCUGUCUGGCGUGAAGGAGGACCUGGUCACCAAGCUGGAGAGAAGAAGCAUCCUGAGCAACGCAAGCCAUGAAGGCAACGUGAGCGUCACUGCCGCGCUGGCGGUCCUCGCUGUGGUGCUCCUCCUGGCAGCCCCCAUCAUCAUCAUCUUCAUCAUCAAGCGUCGCCCAAGCAGACAAGCCCAAUACGAUCCAGCUGCUGGUGACGGUGGUAACCAGCUCUCAGAGAGACGUGAAGGCUGAAGGCUGAAGGCUGAAGGCUGAAGGCUGAAGGCUGAGUGACACACAGCACAGAUGCUUUGUGCACUGGAACACAGAGAGAUGUCUCCAUCGCUGAGGGACCUCAUCACACUUGGACUUUUCUUUCACAUCUGCACUAAUUGCUCCUCAUCUUACACCAUGUCUUCUUUGGCUGUUUGUGGCUGACAAAACACCUUCAAUCUGCAUUUGUCAACAAUAUUUUAUCAGAUGUUGAUCUUUGUGUCCAUGUAGUUGUGAUGUCAUCAUUUGGGGCUCAUGUGUCAUCACAUUGACAAGGAUUUCUUCUUUCCUUUUCAAACCAAUAGACAGCUGCUUAUCAGUGAAUAUCACCUUGUGUCACAUCUCAUCAUUAUUUUUAACAAUAUUUUGGAACAAUAGUACCAUUUUUAACUACUUCCGUAUGCUAAUAUUAAUUGUUUUUGAUGUAACAUUUAAGAAUGAUGAUUAUGAGAACUGCUGUCCAGUUGUUUUAUCUUCUUUUCUGAUGACAUUAGUCUCAUUUGCAAUGCAGUUGCACUUCCAAGACCAUUAGAUGGCAGCACUGUAUAACUAUUUAUGCUAUGUUGUCAAACUAGAAAGUAGCUUUUUUUUUCAGGAAAUUAACUUUUUAGGUUGCGCCCUACAAAGUGUCAAUACUGUAAGAAUAGUUAUUACACAAAAUUGUAAAAUUCGAACUAUAAUCUUAGUAGUUUCCUUUACCAAAUUCCAAGGUGUUGAAAUCGCCAUGUAAAAUCCUUCAUGUAAAUAGUAGCCUGUCUUUGGCAAAUCCUAUGUAAAUUAGCAAUAAGCUAGCGCAUUUUGGAAGAGUGUCGCAUUACUUUAUGUUUGCGCUGUUUUUUUAUUAAGCACUGUGUUGGUGUUGAAAAUGGCAACAUGACUUUUAGGGAGUUUGGCUGAGUCCGGCCUGAGUGCUGCUUGAGUGAUUGUUUACCUGAGCCCGUGUUUAGUCUGAAAGCAGACAUGACGUCACAUGCAACAAAGGUAUCCAACUUGAUUUUACAUAAUUGAUAGUACUGAGGGAAUUGGGUCAUCACCUACAAAAGUACAGAAUUGGGUAGCCAACCUUACCAGUUAGUGUGACGGAGGGGGACAGUGACACAAAAUUUUUAUGACAAAGCGUUGCAAAAUAUUUAUAUUUUUGAAACAAUUUGCUGUUUUUUCCGUUCCUUUUUGCAUAAUCAUAUUUUUUCUUGAUUGCCAAACAUGCCGAGGAUGUCAUUUGGGAAGUAAACAAGGUAGGCCGUUCAUAUACUCUUGAUAUUCAGUGUUUUAUGUGUACAAUGUUUCAUGUACAUUCUGGGGGUUUUAUUCAGUCAAAACUUGUCAAAUACAAAUCUGUUUUGGAGGUGCUUUGUCAUUACACACAUGAUAACACUUCUUGCUUGCAGUCAUGCAAAACAAGUAUUAAAUGAUCUUAAGCCUUUACCAUGUCUGAAAAGUGACAAUUUGAAAUAUUUUGUCAAAUGUCAACAGAAUGAAUGAAGGACAGAGCUCUUUAUUAAAAUACAAUAUUUGGUAGAAAUCACAGCAAAUUUAAGAGAGUAAAAUAACACAAUUCACCUGUUCUUCUGUUGAUGCUAGUAGUGGAAUGGUAUACACAUCUGCUGUGUGUGACAGUGGGUGUGGGUACGAUUCCAGGUCAGGAUGGGAAGGUAAACAUUGAUCUGAAUCAUCAUGAUUGUUGUGCUGUGGCGACUUCUCAUGGGAAAAAAUGAAAGACAUUUACUGAUUUAAUUCUAUUAAUUGUAUUAUUUUGCACUCAUACAUUAAUUAUUUGAUCAUGUUUUUAUUACAAUGUGAUCUUAUUACUCCGAGACGUGUGUAAUGAAAUACAGGUUUCAGUCAAAUAGUAAAACAUGUUUUUCACAAUGUCAGGUUCAAACAUCGAUGACAUCUAUUAAACAACACAAGAAGCAAGGAAAUAGAGACGGAAUUCAAUUUUGCUCGGUUUGAGGGGAAACAUGUUGACCUGUAACCUCUUACAGUGUCACCCACGCUCUCACGGAAAAAUGUUCACGUCUCCUCUUUUAUUUGGAUAUUCCCUGUUUACAUAACAGCAGCUGUUUCUAAAGGAAUGGGGGUAUGUAAACAGCCAUUGUUUUCGGUCACAUUAACACAAAUGAAAAAGAUGUCUCAGGCUUGUACUGGUCCUGGAUCGAGCUUGGGCAAGUCUUGGAUCACAAUAGCUAACCCUUCCCGUCUCUUCCCAUCGUACACAGUGGUAUUUUCCAAGCCUUUGGAUUAUUGCAACAAAGACAGCUUCCGUCUGUUCACUGGGAACUCAGAGAACGGAAAGUUUUUUUGAUAAUUUACAUACAAUAUUUCUGACACACAUAAAUAAAGAAGGCAAAAACAAGCAAACAAACAGAAAAAUCACCAUGCCAGUAGAGAUGAAGACAAUCUGCCAACAAAAUGUCUCCUACUUAUUUUUUCAGAGAGUUGUCAAGCCUGCGUGUGAUGGAUGUGGCCUGCCAGUUAAAAAGUUUGCCCAAGUUAUUCUAGUCACUUAUGCACAGAUGAGAUGUGUCGGCCUCAAAAUAUUACUUUGCAUCACUUUUUGGCAACCAACAAUUCAUUGAUUGAAUUAAUACAUCCAAACACUUUAUUGAUAUGUAUGAUGUGCAUGAACAAAGAACAGUUGAUGUUGUAUGUAGCUUAUAAACAAGGAAGAGCUUUGUAACACAUCAACAUCAACAAGUCCUUUAAAAUCUCAUUAAUGUCACAGAAUUGGACAAAUCUUUGACUUUUCCAACCUAGCAAAGGCUUUAGAUCAUGCUACUUUUGUUGAACAAAUGUUUUGCAGGUACAAUAGUCAAGAUAAACCUGCUUUCAAAUCAACUUUAAAGAGACCUUAUCUUUUAUACUUUAUGUUUGAGUGGACUAAAUGUACUGUCAUUUUAACUGACUAAAAUGUUGUGUGAUGUGGUUGACUUAAACUAAAUCGAUUUAGAUUUAGCAGAGAGAAACUAUUGUUUGUCACCUUGAGACGCUCCCUGAAACCUAAUAAUCAGGUGAUAAAUCUGGAGGUAAUAAUGGACUCGGACUUGAACUUUAACAGCCGCAUGAAGUCGAUAACAUCAGCAGCUUUUACCACCUGAAACACUUUGUCAACAUCAGAGGAAUAAUGUCUGAAUCAGACUUGGAGAGACUAAGUCUUUAUCUCCAGCAGUUUGGACUACUGUAAUGCUCUUUUCACUUGGCUCUUUAAACCAGCUGUAAAGCAACUGCAGUACACCCAGAAUGCUGCUGCUCAAGUCCUGACUAGAACUAGGAAAUAUGAUCAUAUCAGUCCAUAUCAGUCCUGGCUUCCUGUAGCUACUCAGCUUUCCUUGUGUACAAGUCCUUUCAUGGUCUUGUGCCAAAGUACAUCUCGGACAUGUUAGCUCUGAGAACCUUGUUUUAUGAGGAUUCUUCUUCUUUUAUUUUGAAGUAUUUUCCAUGGUUACUUCCAUUUUAUUGUUGCCUUCUUGUCAUUUUCUGUACAGCACUUUGAAUUGUGCUCUAUAAAUAAACUGGCCUUCCCUAAUUGUUUUCAGAAUAAAACACUUAUUUCCA